GUCUUUUUGAAAUAAUUUAAAGUCUAAUCUGCCCACUGAUAAAAAUUAAAGGGCUGCAGUAUAAUGACUGUACAAAGGUAGCAUAAUCAAUAGUUUUUUAAUUGGAAACUUGUAUGAAAGAUUUGAUGAAAUAUAAACUGUCUCUAUUUUAUAAAUUGAAUUUUAUUUUUUAGUAAAAAAGCUAAAAUAAAUUUAAAAGACGAGAAGACCCUAUAGAGUUUUAUAUUUAAUUUUAUUUGAAAAUUAUAUAAAAAUUAUUAUUUAAAUAAAAUUAAUUAUUAUGUUGGGGUGACAGAAAAAUUAAAUUAACUUUUUUUAAAAAUUAAACAUAGAUAAGUGAUUAUAUGAUCCAUAAAUAAUGAUUAUAAGAAAAAAUUACCUUAGGGAUAACAGCGUAAUAUUUUUUUUUAGUUCAAAUAAAAAAGAAAGUUUGCGACCUCGAUGUUGGAUUAAGAUAAAAUUUAAAUGCAAAAGUUUAAAAUUUUUGAUCUGUUCGAUCAUUAAAAUCUUACA
rnacentral:rRNA from 1 species